GACGAACGCUGGCGGCGUGCUUAACACAUGCAAGUCGAACGAAAAGGCCCGGCCUUGGUGGGGUGCUCGAGGGGCGAAAGGGGGAGUAACACGUGAGUAACCUGCCCUUGACUUUGGGAUAACUUCAGGAAACUGGGGCUAAUACCGGAUAGGAGUUCUUGCUGCAUGGUGGGGGUGGGAAAGUUUCGGUGGUUGGGGAUGGACUCGCGGCUUAUCGGCUUGUUGGUGGGGUAGUGGCUUACCAAGGCUUUGAAGGGUAGCCGACCUGGGAGGGUGACCGGCCUCAUGGCGACUGAGCUACGGCCCAGACCCGUACCGUAGGCAGCGGUGGGGAGUAUUACACAAUGGGCGGGCGCCUGAUGUGACAACGCCGCGUCCGGGAAGACGUGCUUCGGGUUGUAAACCACUGUCGCCUGAGCCGAGGCGUUAGUGACGGUAACGGGUAAAGAAGCACCGGCUAACUACGUG
rnacentral:rRNA from 1 species